GAUGAACGCUGGCGGCGUGCCUAAUACAUGCAAGUCGAGCGAACGGACGAGAAGCUUGCUUCUCUGAUGUUAGCGGCGGACGGGUGAGUAACACGUGGAUAACCUACCUAUAAGACUGGGAUAACUUCGGGAAACCGGAGCUAAUACCGGAUGAUAUUUUGAACCGCAUGGUUCAAAAGUGAAAGACGGUCUUGCUGUCACUUAUAGAUGGAUCCGCGCUGCAUUAGCUAGUUGGUAAGGUAACGGCUUACCAAGGCAACGAUGCAUAGCCGACCUGAGAGGGUGAUCGGCCACACUGGAACUGAGACACGGUCCAGACUCCUACGGGAGGCAGCAGUAGGGAAUCUUCCGCAAUGGGCGAAAGCCUGACGGAGCAACGCCGCGUGAGUGAUGAAGGUCUUCGGAUCGUAAAACUCUGUUAUUAGGGAAGAACAUAUGUGUAAGUAACUGUGCACAUCUUGACGGUACCUAAGCAGAAAACCACGGCUAACUACGU
rnacentral:rRNA from 1 species